rnacentral:rRNA from 1 species
AUUGAACGCUGGCGGCAGGCCUAACACAUGCAAGUCGAGCGAGCGGCGGACGGGUGAGUAAUGUAUGGGGACUGCCCGAUAGAGGGGGAUAACUACUGGAAACGGUGGCUAAUACCGCAUACUAUCGGAUAACCCAUAUGGGAUUAGCUAGUAGGUGGGGUAAAGGCUCACCUAGGCGACGAUCCCUAGCUGGUCUGGGAGGAUGACCAGCCAAACUGGGACUGAGACACGGCCCAGACUCCUACGGGGGCAGAAGUGGGGAAUAUUGCACAAUGGGCACAAGCCUGAUGCAGCCAUGCCGCGUGUAUGAAGAAGGCCUUCGGGUUGUAAAGUACUUUCAGUCGGGAGGCGUUACCGACAGAAGAAGCACCGGCUAACUCCGUGCCAGCAGCCGCGGUAAUUC